AUUGAACGCUGGCGGCAGGCCUAACACAUGCAAGUCGAGCGGAGCGGAGGACGGGUAAGUAAUGCCUAGGAAUCUGACUGGUCGUGGGGGAUAACGUCCGGAAACGGGCGCUCCUAUCGCAUACUAUCAUAUGAGCCUAGGUCGGCUUAGGUAGUUGGAAGGGUAAAGGCCUACCAAGGCGACGAUCCGUACCUGGUCUGAGAGGAUGAACAGUCACACUGGGACUGAGACACGGCCCAGACUCCUACGGGAGGCAGCAGUGGGGAAUAUUGGACAAUGGGCGAAAGCCUGAUCCAGCCAUGCCGCGUGUGUGAAGAAGGUUUUCGGAUUGUAAAGCACUUUAAGUUGGGAGGCGUUACCAACAGAAUAAGCACCGGCUAACUUCGUGCCAGCAGCCGCGGUAAUAC
rnacentral:rRNA from 1 species